rnacentral:rRNA from 1 species
CCUACGGGAGGCAGCAGUGAGGAAUAUUGGUCAAUGGACGCGAGUCUGAACCAGCCAAGUAGCGUGAAGGAUGACUGCCCUACGGGUUGUAAACUUCUUUUAUAUGGGAAUAAAAUGUUCCACGUGUGGGAUUUUGUAUGUACUUUAUGAAUAAGGAUCGGCUAACUCCGUGCCAGCAGCCGCGGUAAUACGGAGGAUCCGAGCGUUAUCCGGAUUUAUUGGGUUUAAAGGGAGCGUAGGUGGAUUGUUAAGUCAGUUGUGAAAGUUUGCGGCUCAACCGUAAAAUUGCAGUUGAAACUGGCAGUCGUGAGUACAGUAGAGGUAGGCGGAAUUCGUGGUGUAGCGGUGAAAUGCUUAGAUAUCACGAAGAACUCCGAUUGCGAAGGCAGUUCACUAGACUGCAACUGACACUGAGGCUCGAAAGUGUGGGUAUCAAACAGGAUUAGAUACCCUUGUAGUC